rnacentral:lncRNA from 1 species
CUCCUGGGUUCACGCCAUUCUCCUGCCUCAGCCUCCCGAGUAGCUGGGACUACAGGCGCCCGCCACCACGCCUGGCUAAUUUUUGUACUUUUAGUAGAGACGGGGUUUCACCCUGUUAGCCAGGAUGGUCUCGAUCUCCUGACCUCGUGUUCCGCCCGCCUGGGCCUCCCAGAGUGCUGGGAUUACAGGCGUGAGCCACCGCACCCUGCCUUAAACCUUAACUUUUUAAACCUUAUUUUAAAAGCAGUAUUUUCUAAGUCCCUCUCACUAAAACAAUCCUCUCAACCAAGCCUUCUCUUUUCAGAUAAAUUCAUAGAAACUUUAGGUUUAAGAUACUUUGUUGGCCAGGUGUGGUGGCUUACACCAGGAAUCCCAGCACUUUGGGAGGCCAAGGCUGGUAGAUCACUUGAGUCCAGGAGUUCCAGACCAGCCAGGGCAACAUGGCGAAACCCCAUCUCAACAAAAAGUACAAAUAUUAGCUGGGCUUGAUGGCAUGCAUCUGUGGUCCCAGCUACUCAGGCGGCUAAGGUGGGAGGUUCACUUGAGCUCAGGAGGCAGAGGUUGCAGUGAGCCAAGAUCACACCAUUCCACUCCAGCCUGGGCAACAGAGUGAGACCCUGUCUCAAAAAAAAAAAAAAAAAAAUACUUUGAGGUGUGUGAUUGUAACCUCAGUACUUUUAGUGCUGUAUAUGAACAGGGACACUUGACCUCUGCACUUCACAUUUUGAGUCGGGUCAAUUAGGUAGUUGCUUGUACUGUCUUCUACCUGCAGGUGGUAGAGUUUCUUUAUAGUUCCCAAAGUUAAGUGGCACCCCUUUUCAGCCCCUGGAACUUAACCUGGAAUUCUGCCCUAUACGGUGCUGUAAAACAAACCAUGUUUGAAACUACUGUAACGAAUACAGGUCAGACAGCAUCCCUAAAUGUAAGAAUUCCUGAGGUCCAGGUGCCCCUGUGGCUUUCUUAGCUUAGAACAUGGAGUUAAUCUCAUUUUAUUUACAACAUCACAAAUGACUCAAAGGAUGCAUUUGUAUUUCCUUUCCUACAUAUGGAGAAGAGGAGUUUUUUUAAUAGCUCUGCCUUGAGCUGAGUAUGUAAAUGCUCUGGUUUCUGUAUUCAAAUACUCCAUGUUUUGAAGUUAGCAAAGCCCUUAGAGAGUACAGCUGACCCUUGAACAACACAGUGGGGAGGGGCACCGGCCCUGCAUGCAGUUGAAAAUCUCCUAUAACCUUUGAUUUUCCCACAACUUAACUUCUAAUAGCCUACUGUUGACUGGAAGUCUUACCAAUAACAUAAACAGCCAAUUAACACAUAUUUUGCAUGUUAUGUGUAUUAUGUGCUGUAUUAUAAUAAAGUAAGCUAGAGAAAAAAAUGUAAUUAAAAUCAUGAGAAAAUAUAUUUACUAAUUCAUUAAAUGGAAGUGGACCAUCAGAAAGGUCUUUAUUCUUGUCAUCAUCUUGUUGAGUAGGCUGACGAGGAAGAGGAGGAAGGGGUUAGUCUUGCUGACUUAGGGGUGGCAGAGGCAGAAGCGGUGGAAGAGGAGGCAGGAGAGGUGGGCGCCUCAGUGUAACUUUACAGAAAGACAUCAUAAUUUCUGGCUUUUUUGCUUUUUCAUUUUUCUAAAAAUAUUUGUAUAUGGUACCAAUCCUUCCUCCACCACUUGCUUUAGGUUUAAUGCUUGUAUCAUAGAAGGGUCUGUGUUACAAAAGAAGUGAAAAGCAGUCUUGACUAAUCAGAAACCUGCCAGAUUGUUUAAUGUCGAUUUGUUUUCUGAUGCUGCUGCUUCUGUGUCGUCUUCAUCAUCACCUCACACUGAUGGGGAAGCACUCGUCUCCAGCAGGUUGUCUUCUCUUUGUUCCUCUAGUGUGGUUAUCUGUUAGCUCUUGAAUUUCUCCAAGAUCCGUAUCUUGAAACCCUUCACCCCCCACCUUUUUUGCCACAUCUACAAUCUCUUUCCUUGAUUGGCUCUGUUGUAAAUCCUGUGAAGUCAUGCACAUCAUCUGGACAGUUUUCUCCUGCAGGAAUUUAUUGUUUCAGGCUUGAUGGCUUUCAUGGCUUGCUCUGUCACAAUGAUGGCAUCUUCAGUGAUGUAAUUCUUCCAGACUUCCAUGUUGUUCUCUCUGUUGGUGUUCUCGUCCAUAGUGUUGACAAUCCUUUCCAUAAAGUACUGUGUGUAAUGAGCCUUGAAGGUCCUUAUGGCCUCCCAAUCUAGAGGCCAAAUUAUGAUGUGUUUGGGGGCAAGGAGACCACUCUGAGGACUUUAGUGUUGAACUCAUGGGGCUCUGGGUGGCUGGGGGCAUUGUCCAAUAUCAAAAGAACUUUAAAAGGCAGUCGCUUCCUGGGAAGGUACUUCUGACUUCAGGGACAAAGCAUCAGUGGAACCAAUCCAGAAAAGUUUUCUCAGUGUCCAGGCCUUCUUAUUGUACAACCAAAAGAUUGGCAGCUGGUGUUUAUCUUUUCCCUUCAAGGCCAGGGGGUUAGCAGCUUUAUAGAUAAGGCCAGUCCUGAUCAUAAACCCAAUUGCAUUUGUACAAAGCAGUCCAGUUAGCCUGUCCCUUCCUGCCUUAAAUCCUGAUGCAUGCUUCUCUUCCUUACUAAUCAAUGUCCUUUGUAGCAUUUUUUUCCCAGAAGAGGACACUUUCAUCUGCACUGAAAACCUGUUCAGGCAGGUAUCCUUUCUCCUCAGUGAUUUUCUUAAUGGCAUCCGGGAACUCACCUGCUGCCUCUUGGUCAGCAGAAGCUGCUUCUCCUGUUAUCUUGACAGUUUUUAAGCCAAACCACUUUUAAAAAUUAUCAAACCAUCCUUUACUGGCAUUAAAUUCUCCAGCUUUAGAUGCUUCACCUUCCUUUUGCUUUAAGUUGU